rnacentral:rRNA from 1 species
GAGUGAAAGUCGUAACAAGGUUUCCGUAGGUGAACCUGCGGAAGGAUCAUUAAAGAGAGGGGCUUCGCGCUCCAGGGGACCCCGGUCCCCGCCUCUACACCCCGUGAUUACCUUACCUCUUGUUGCCUUGGCGGGGGAUUACCCGCCAGCAGCCCACCGAAACUCGUUUGAUCCAUGUCCGUCUGAACCGAAUUCAUAAUGAAUCAAAACUUUCAACAACGGAUCUCUUGGUUCUGGCAUCGAUGAAGAACGCAGCGAAAUGCGAUAAGUAAUGUGAAUUGCAGAAUUCAGUGAAUCAUCGAAUCUUUGAACGCACAUUGCGCCCCUCGGUAUUCCGGGGGGCAUGCCUGUUCGAGCGUCAUUACAUCACUCAAGCGUAGCUUGGUAUUGGGUCCUUCGCCCGGGGGCUCCCCUGCGGCGUGCCCGAAAAGCAUUGGCGGUCCGGUGUGACUUGAAGCGUAGUAAAUUUUCUCCCGCUUUGCAAGCCUCGCGCCGCGGCCGGCCAGACAACGCCAUUUAUACCUCACGAUUGACCUCGGAUCAGGUAGGGAUACCCGCUGAACUUAAGCAUAUCAAUAAGCGGAGGA